CGGCGAGGCUAAGGAGCGCGUGGAGGUGCACGCGAGGUCGACGGCGAUUUAAGAGGAGAGAUCGGAGAGGGAGGAGAAAGGAGAGGUGAAGGAGAAGGGGAGAGCUCGAUCGAGGUCGAGCUCCGCGUGGGAGGAAGAGGCACGAAUAGGGUGGGAGGUGCGCUGGUGUCAGCCGAAUCGGGUUGUUUUGGGUUCUAAUUAGAGUUAGGGUUAGAAUUAUAUUGGUGGUCAAAUAAAUAUAUUAAUAAAAAAUUAACGGCUAUUCAAAAUAAUUCUCGCUAAAACAUAAUUUAAUAAAAAGUAUUAACGGCUGUUCGAUAAUCGCCGCUAUUAAAUUGCCACUAAAACUUAAUUUUGUU
rnacentral:lncRNA from 1 species